rnacentral:rRNA from 1 species
GGGGAUUAGUGGCGAACGGGUGAGUAACACGUGGGCAAUCUGCCCUUCACUCUGGGACAAGCCCUGGAAACGGGGUCUAAUACCGGAUACGAGUCUCCAAGGCAUCUUGGAGGCUGGAAAGCUCCGGCGGUGAAGGAUGAGCCCGCGGCCUAUCAGCUUGUUGGUGAGGUAAUGGCUCACCAAGGCGACGACGGGUAGCCGGCCUGAGAGGGCGACCGGCCACACUGGGACUGAGACACGGCCCAGACUCCUACGGGAGGCAGCAGUGGGGAAUAUUGCACAAUGGGCGAAAGCCUGAUGCAGCGACGCCGCGUGAGGGAUGACGGCCUUCGGGUUGUAAACCUCUUUCAGCAGGGAAGAAGCGAAAGUGACGGUACCUGCAGAAGAAGCGCCGGCUAACUACGUGCCAGCAGCCGCGGUAAUACGUAGGGCGCAAGCGUUGUCCGGAAUUAUUGGGCGUAAAGAGCUCGUAGGCGGCUUGUCACGUCGAUUGUGAAAGCCCGAGGCUUAACCUCGGGUCUGCAGUCGAUACGGGCUAGCUAGAGUGUGGUAGGGGAGAUCGGAAUUCCUGGUGUAGCGGUGAAAUGCGCAGAUAUCAGGAGGAACACCGGUGGCGAAGGCGGAUCUCUGGGCCAUUACUGACGCUGAGGAGCGAAAGCGUGGGGAGCGAACAGGAUUAGAUACCCUGGUAGUCCACGCCGUAAAC